rnacentral:rRNA from 1 species
CAGCAGCCGCGGUAAUACGUAGGUGGCAAGCGUUGUCCGGAAUUAUUGGGCGUAAAGGGCUCGCAGGCGGUUUCUUAAGUCUGAUGUGAAAGCCCCCGGCUCAACCGGGGAGGGUCAUUGGAAACUGGGAAACUUGAGUGCAGAAGAGGAGAGUGGAAUUCCACGUGUAGCGGUGAAAUGCGUAGAGAUGUGGAGGAACACCAGUGGCGAAGGCGACUCUCUGGUUUGUAACUGACGCUGAGGAGCGAAAGCGUGGGGAGCGAACAGGAUUAGAUACCCCCGUAGUCCCUGUCUCUUAUAC